CAUCCUUGAUCGGGAGGUCCGGGUAAUCUUUUGAAACUUCAUCGUGCUGGGGAUAGUCCCUUGCAAUUUUUGGACUUUAACGAGGAAUUCCUAGUAAGCGUGAGUCAUCAACUCGCGUUGAUUACGUCCCUGCCCUUUGUACACACCGCCCGUCGCUACUACCGAUUGAAUGGCUUAGUGAAUCCUUCGGAUUGGCUUUCUUUUCUGGCAACAGAAUUUGAUCGCUGAAAAGUUGGGCAAACUUGGUCAUUUAGAGGAAGUAAAAGUCGUAACAAGGUUUCCGUAGGUGAACCUGCGGAAGGAUCAUUAAAAAAUGAGACCUUUUUGAAAGGUCUAUUAAUAAUCCUACCCUUUGUGAAUUUGUUGUUUGAAAUAAUUUUUUUUCCAAAAAAAUUAUUGAAUGUCUUUCCCUGUUUGGUGGAGCUUGUAAAAGUGAAACCAUCAGGGGAAUGGCAAACAAUAAUUAUUUUGAAAAAAGACCUUUUUUUAAAAUUAAACUUUUAUGUAUUCAUUUGUCUAAAAUUAUUUUUAUAAUAUAAAAACAACUUUUGACAAUGGAUCUCUUGGUUCUCGCAACGAUGAAGAACGCAGCAAAAUGCGAUAAGUAGUGUGAAUUGCAGAAUACGUGAAUCAUCGAAUCUUCGAACGCAUAUUGCAC
rnacentral:rRNA from 1 species